GGGGUCUGACGUCAGCCAUGUGCGGGGAGGAGAUGGGAAGAGGGAGGGGGUUAAAUGCUAAUGAUAUUAAUGAACCUCCCAGCGGCUCCCAAAGAAAAUGCAGGCGCUCUUGGAGCUGAGGAGUUAAGAGUGUGAAUAUGGGACUCUGCGUGCGUGAUGGUGAGACGGUACUGCUCUGGAGUGCCAGGCAGAUUCAUGGAAGAAAUUGGGUGGCUGUGUUUUGAUUGUGCACGCCGGACAUGAGCUUGUGAGUUAGUUCAUUCUUGGUCCCGUGCUCCUUCUGUUGGGUAAAACUUGGAUCUGAACCGAGGAGGCCCAAAGCUCCAACCAGGGCAGAACACUGGGUGGCAACCACCACGGAAGCCCUGCAGCAGCCCCUGCAGUCAACUGUCUCUCCUUUCCCGGUUGUGGGCACAGCACAUGAGGAACAGCAAAAUGUGCUCCUUGAGGUUCAGGUGAUGACUGACAGGUGCAGACCUCUGCAUGGAGGGCCGUUCCCUGCUCCUGGGCUGCGUGUUGCGACCUAGGCCCGUGCACAGGAGACCCUGAAGAAGCUGCACCCGAGCGCAAUGAAGACGAGGGUAAGCGCGCCAUGUGGACGCCUUUGCAUCAGGAUGCCAGGAAUUCGCCCACUCUCGGUGGAGGCCACAAGGCCGGCCUCGCUAGGCCCCCUCUCUGCUGCCCAACCCUCGCCUGCCUUCCUUCGAGGGGGCUACCGAGUCUCCCGCGCCAGGGUGGACACCUCCACUCCCCCUUGCCCCCGGGGACGCACCGAGCGCCUGCACCCUCCUCGGCUCGCCCCCUCCCGGCCUUUGUGUGGUGCGGGACCCCGGCCCGCCGCCCCUGUGAACCGCCUG
rnacentral:lncRNA from 1 species